rnacentral:rRNA from 1 species
CGGUGAUACGUAGGGUGCGAGCGUUGUCCGGAUUUAUUGGGCGUAAAGAGCUUGUAGGCGGUUUGUCACGUCGGGAGUGAAAACUCAGUGCUUAACACUGAGCCUGGACUUGAGGAAGGUAGGGGAGAAUGGAAUUCCUGGUGGAGCGGUGGAAUGCGCAGAUAUCAGGAGGAACACCAGUGGCGAAGGCGGUUCUCUGGACCUUUCCUGACGCUGAGAAGCGAAAGCGUGGGGAGCAAACAGGCUUAGAUACCCUGGUAGUCCACGCCGUAAACGGUGGGUACUAGGUGUGGGGGACAUUCCACGUUCUCCGUGCCGCAGCUAACGCAUUAAGUACCCCGCCUGGGGAGUACGGCCGCAAGGCUAAAACUCAAAGGAAUUGACGGGGCCCCGCACAAGCGGCGGAGCAUGCGGAUUAAUUCGAUGCAACGCGAAGAACCUUACCUGGGUUUGACAUAUACCGGAAACACUCAGAGAUGGGUGCCCCUUUUGGUCGGUAUACAGGUGGUGCAUGGCUGUCGUCAGCUCGUGUCGUGAGAUGUUGGGUUAAGUCCCGCAACGAGCGCAACCCUCGUCCAAUGUUGCCAGCGGGUAAUGCCGGGGACUCAUUGGAGACCGCCGGGGUCAACUCGGAGGAAGGUGGGGAUGACGUCAAGUCAUCAUGCCCCUUAUGUCCAGGGCUUCACGCAUGCUACAAUGGCCGGUACAAAGGGCUGCGAACCUGCAAGGGUAAGCGAAUCCCAAAAAGCCGGUCUCAGUUCGGAUUGGGGUCUGCAACUCGACCCCAUGAAGUCGGAGUCGCUAGUAAUCGCAGAUCAGCAACGC